ACAAAAGUAAACCGAAGAAACAACAAAAAUCAUACAAAUCUUGAAGUCUGAUCAAAACAGCGAAGAUUAGUCUUCCCAUCCCAUCUGGAUCAGAAAUGUCCAAACAACUAUUUACCGCAGAUACAUGAACUUACAAAGCACAAAGGAUGAUUUCAUCAUAACAAAAAUUUAUAUAAGAUGGUUGGUGAGCAAUGGACUCUGUGGGCCCAAAACUGACAUAAGCUACAUACUUGAAAAUUGCCAUACCAGUUAGAAAGUUAAAGUUGAAUCCAGGAAAAAGUAUGAUGGCAAGAGGGUGAAAUACGUCUGGCACUUCAAAGGACCGAGGAUAUGCAGACCAAAAACGUGAAAUAAGAGGGGAAAAAAUUAUAAAUUGCCAUUAACCUUGUUUAUUUAUAACAGACCUAACUGAAAUAAUUGCUUAAUAAACAAGAAGAAGAGAGAAGAAGACUCGUACUCUGAAAUGACGACAAAAAAUAUUCAAAAUAAAAUGCAUAAGUCCUAUUCCCAAUUGCGGAAUUUAACAUUUUAUUGUAUCUUUAAGAUUAAGAUCCAUUUUGUUACGACGUAAUAUUUCCACAUUCUUUUCCGUUUGAUAACCUUGUCUGAUUAAUAUUGCUAUGUGUACCUGUGUCUUUCUGCAAUUUCUUACCAGUCUAGCAUUUCGUGAUGAACUUGUAGUUUGGUGAUUUCUCAUUAUUUCCCAGUGACCAUCAUACAGUUUUCAUUUGUCAGGCCCGUUCGGGCUGAAGUCGUUAUUUAAUCUGUUGUUGUUUUUGUCAAAAAAUUUGUAAGGUAACGAAAUACAAUCUAAAGCAAUG